rnacentral:rRNA from 1 species
GAUGAACGCUGGCGGCGUGCCUAUUACAUGCAAGUCGAGCGAACAGACGAGGAGCUUGCUCCUCUGACGUUAGCGGCGGACGGGUGAGUAACACGUGGAUAACCUACCUAUAAGACUGGGAUAACUUCGGGAAACCGGAGCUAAUACCGGAUAAUAUAUUGAACCGCAUGGUUCAAUAGUGAAAGACGGUUUCGCUGUCACUUAUAGAUGGAUCCGCGCCGCAUUAGCUAGUUGGUAAGGUAACGGCUUACCAAGGCAACGAUGCGUAGCCGACCUGAGAGGGUGAUCGGCCACACUGGAACUGAGACACGGUCCAGACUCCUACGGGAGGCAGCAGUAGGGAAUCUUCCGCAAUGGGCGAAAGCCUGACGGAGCAACGCCGCGUGAGUGAUGAAGGUCUUCGGAUCGUAAAACUCUGUUAUUAGGGAAGAACAAAUGUGUAAGUAACUAUGCACGUCUUGACGGUACCUAAUCAGAAAGCCACGGCUAACUACGUG